rnacentral:rRNA from 1 species
CCUACGGGUGGCAGCAGUGGGGAAUAUUGCACACUGGGCGAAAGCCUGCUGCCGCAACGCCGCGUUAAGGCAGAAGGGUUUCUGCUCGUAAACUUCUAUCAACAGGGACGACAGACAUGACGGUACCUGAAUCAGACGCCCCCGCUACCUACGUGCCCGCAGCCGCGGUAAUACGUAGGGGGCAAGCGUUAUCCGGAAUUACUGGGUGUAAAGGGUGAGUAGUCGGCAUGGUAAGCCAGAUGUGAAAGCCUUGGGCUUAACCCGAGGAUUGCAUUUGGAACUAUCAAGCUAGAGUACAGGAGAGGAAAGCGGAAUUCCUAGUGUAGCGGUGAAAUGCGUAGAUAUUAGGAAGAACACCAGUGGCGAAGGCGGCUUUCUGGACUGAAACUGACGCUGAGGCACGAAAGCGUGGGGAGCGAACAGGAUUAGAUACCCCUGUAGUC